UACGGAGGGUGCAAGCGUUGUCCGGAUUUAUUGGGUUUAAAGGGUGCGUAGGCGGCUCUUUAAGUCAGUGGUGAAAGCCUCCAGCUUAACUGGAGAACAGCCAUUGAUACUGAAGAGCUUGAGUACAGACGAGGUAGGCGGAAUUUAUGGUGUAGCGGUGAAAUGCAUAGAUACCAUAAAGAACUCCUAUUGCGAAGGCAGCUUACUAGGCUGUAACUGACGCUGAGGCACGAAAGCGUGGGGAUCAAACAGG
rnacentral:rRNA from 1 species